UCGGCAGUGGUGAACAAUGGUGAACCUAUCGAUUCGGACUUCUAAUCCGCCGGUCGCAGGUUCGAAUCCUGCCGGGCGCG
rnacentral:tRNA from 1 species